rnacentral:lncRNA from 1 species
UGGCUUUUGCGUAUCAGCCCCUGCACUGCAUUGCAUGAUCCUGUUGAACAGAAGAUCUGCUUGAGAUACUGAAGCCAGACUAUAUAACCCUCUG